GACGAACGCUGGCGGCGUGCUUAACACAUGCAAGUCGAACGGUGACGAGGAGCUUGCUCCUCUGAUCAGUGGCGAACGGGUGAGUAACACGUGAGUAACCUGCCCCAGACUCUGGGAUAACAGUUGGAAACAGCUGCUAAUACCGGAUACGAGACGGAGAGGCAUCUCUACCGUCUGGAAAGUUUUUCGGUCUGGGAUGGACUCGCGGCCUAUCAGCUUGUUGGUGAGGUAAUGGCUCACCAAGGCGACGACGGGUAGCCGGCCUGAGAGGGCGACCGGCCACACUGGGACUGAGACACGGCCCAGACUCCUACGGGAGGCAGCAGUGGGGAAUAUUGCGCAAUGGGCGAAAGCCUGACGCAGCAACGCCGCGUGAGUGAAGAAGGCCUCGG
rnacentral:rRNA from 1 species